UGGGGAAUCUUGCACAAUGGGGGCAACCCUGAUGCAGCGACGCCGCGUGAGUGAAGAAGGCCUUAGGGUUGUAAAGCUCUUUCGCCCGCGAAGAUAAUGACGGUAGCGGGAGAAGAAGCCCCGGCUAACUCCGUGCCAGCAGCCGCGGUAAUACGGAGGGGGCUAGCGUUGUUCGGAAUUACUGGGCGUAAAGCGUACGUAGGCGGAUGCGCAAGUUGGGGGUGAAAUCCCGGGGCUUAACCUCGGAAUUGCCCUCAAAACUGCACGUCUUGAGACCGAGAGAGGUAAGGGGAAUUCCUAGUGUAGAGGUGAAAUUCGUAGAUAUUAGGAAGAACACCAGUGGCGAAGGCGCCUUACUGGCUCGGUACUGACGCUGAGGUACGAAAGCGUGGGGAGCAAACA
rnacentral:rRNA from 1 species